GCCUGAGUGGCUCAGUGGUUGAGCAUCUGCCUUUGGCUCAGGGUGUGAACCCGGAGUCCUGGGAUUAAGUCCCACAUCAGGCU
rnacentral:tRNA from 1 species